AGAGGUAGUUUAAGUUUAGAAUUCUGUUUUUGUAAAACAGAGGUGUUGGUUGUUGUAGGGCCUUUU
rnacentral:tRNA from 1 species